GAUGAACGCUGGCGGCGUGCCUAAUACAUGCAAGUCGAGCGAACGGACGAGAAGCUUGCUUUUCUGAUGUUAGCGGCGGACGGGUGAGUAACACGUGGAUAACCUACCUAUAAGACUGGGAUAACUUCGGGAAACCGGAGCUAAUACCGGAUAAUAUUUUGAACCGCAUGGUUCAAAAGUGAAAGACGGUCUUGCUGUCACUAUAGAUGGAUCCGCGCUGCAUUAGCUAGUUGGUAAGGUAACGGCUUACCAAGGCAACGAUGCAUAGCCGACCUGAGAGGGUGAUCGGCCACACUGGAACUGAGACACGGUCCAGACUCCUACGGGAGGCAGCAGUAGGGAAUCUUCCGCAAUGGGCGAAAGCCUGACGGAGCAACGCCGCGUGAGUGAUGAAGGUCUUCGGAUCGUAAAACUCUGUUAUUAGGGAAGAACAUAUGUGUAAGUAACUGUGCACAUCUUGACGGUACCUAAUCAGAAAGCCACGGCUAACUACGUG
rnacentral:rRNA from 1 species